rnacentral:lncRNA from 1 species
AUUACAGGUGUCUGCCACUACAUCUGGCCAGCUUAAGUACAACAUUUAUUAACCAGUAUUGUGUUCUUGAGUGAUUGUUUUUUUCCUCCCUCUCCACUUUAUUUCUUCCAGCUUCAUCCUGGUUGCCUGUUAGAAUCACCUGGGGAGCUUUUAAAAUCCCAGUGAUCAAGUGCCCCUCAGACCUCUUAGCCGAGGAAUUCUGGGGGCGGGGCCCAGCAUCAGUGUUUUUUCAAGCCCUUCCAGGUGACUUCAAUGCACAGGCAGCGAGAACUCCUGCAUGAAGGCUUCUGGAGAAGUAGGAAGGCUUAGAAUGUCGCUCACUCAUCUUUCACUUCCUGUAGCAACUGUUUCGUGCUCUUAAGUCUGGUGCGUCCAUGUCUGUCUGCACCUGGAUGGCAUCGCCUCUCCAUCUCGAGGACGCCAUCUGGAGGGGUUAAAAUGAAGCGAUUCAGUCAAGAUACGUGUGGCGCACAUGAUCCUGCAGAGGUGGAAGCCCACGCCAAGAUAUUCUGGCAGCACCUACCCUGACUUCCAUAUUACACAGAAAGUUGUCAGCCUGGGUGAAGAAGGAACCAGGGCACCCAACUCAUCUGACUGAAAAACAAAACACCACAAGAGGAAUCCCAAGACCUAACCAAAAGAUAAUCUAGACUAUGGUAACAGAAGGAAUUCAGCGUUAAUGCCCUUGAAUUAAGAGUUUCCUCCAGAGAAUAGAGAUACAAAUAAUGACUAUGAAUGACCAUUAAGCCUUAAUGUGCAUAUAAGAAGCACUUGGACUACAAGCUCUUACCAAUUGCUCCCUUUUUGCAGAUAAAGACACAGAGUGCUUCCUGAGAAGUCACACACAGGCAGUGGUAGAGCCAGGUUUAAAUUCAGACCCUGUGUGUCCCCAGAAAAUCAGGUUUUUUGGACUCAUACUGCCUCAUAACUAGACAUUAUGGCUCUUGGUAGUCUGUUUUUUUAUUUUUAUUUUUGAGACAAGAGUUUCACUCUGUCACCCCAGGCAUCGUGCAGUGGCAUGAUC